rnacentral:rRNA from 1 species
GGUUAAGCGACUAAGCGUACACGGUGGAUGCCCUGGCAGUCAGAGGCGAUGAAGGGCGUGCUAAUCUGCGAUAAGCGCCGGUAAGGUGAUAUGAACCGUUAUAACCGGCGAUACCCGAAUGGGGAAACCCAGUGUGAUUCGUCACACUAUCAUUAACUGAAUCCAUAGGUUAAUGAGGCGAACCGGGGGAACUGAAACAUCUAAGUACCCCGAGGAAAAGAAAUCAACCGAGAUUCCCCCAGUAGCGGCGAGCGAACGGGGAGGAGCCCAGAGCCUGAAUCAGCAUGUGUGUUAGUGGAAGCGUCUGGAAAGGCGCGCGAUACAGGGUGACAGCCCCGUACACAAAAGCGCAUGUGCUGUGAGCUCGAUGAGUAGGGCGGGACACGUGGUAUCCUGUCUGAAUAUGGGGGGACCAUCCUCCAAGGCUAAAUACUCCUGACUGACCGAUAGUGAACCAGUACCGUGAGGGAAAGGCGAAAAGAACCCCGGCGAGGGGAGUGAAAAAGAACCUGAAACCGUGUACGUACAAGCAGUGGGAGCACAGGUUUACCUGUGUGACUGCGUACCUUUUGUAUAAUGGGUCAGCGACUUAUAUUCUGUAGCAAGGUUAACCGAAUAGGGGAGCCGGAGGGAAACCGAGUCUUAAUUGGGCGUUAAGUUGCAGGGUAUAGACCCGAAACCCGGUGAUCUAGCCAUGGGCAGGUUGAAGGUUGGGUAACACUAACUGGAGGACCGAACCGACUAAUGUUGAAAAAUUAGCGGAUGACCUGUGGCUGGGGGUGAAAGGCCAAUCAAACCGGGAGAUAGCUGGUUCUCCCCGAAAGCUAUUUAGGUAGCGCCUCGUGAAUUCAUCUCCGGGGGUAGAGCACUGUUUCGGCUAGGGGGCCAUCCCGGCUUACCAACCCGAUGCAAACUGCGAAUACCGGAGAAUGUUAUCACGGGAGACACACGGCGGGUGCUAACGUCCGUCGUGAAGAGGGAAACAACCCAGACCGCCAGCUAAGGUCCCAAAGUCAUGGUUAAGUGGGAAACGAUGUGGGAAGGCCCAGACAGCCAGGAUGUUGGCUUAGAAGCAGCCAUCAUUUAAAGAAAGCGUAAUAGCUCACUGGUCGAGUCGGCCUGCGCGGAAGAUGUAACGGGGCUAAACCAUGCACCGAAGCUGCGGCAGCGACACUGUGUGUUGUUGGGUAGGGGAGCGUUCUGUAAGCCUGUGAAGGUGUGUCGUGAGGCAUGCUGGAGGUAUCAGAAG